rnacentral:rRNA from 1 species
CCUACGGGAGGCAGCAGUGGGGAAUAUUGCACAAUGGGGGAAACCCUGAUGCAGCGACGCCGCGUGAGUGAAGAAGUAUUUCGGUAUGUAAAGCUCUGUCAGCAGGGAAGAAAAUGACGGUACCUGACCAAGAAGCCCCGGCUAACUACGUGCCAGCAGCCGCGGUAAUACGUAGGGGGCAAGCGUUAUCCGGAUUUACUGGGUGUAAAGGGAGCGUAGACGGCAGGGCAAGUCUGGAGUGAAAGGGGGGGGCUCAACCCCCGGAUUGCUCUGGAAACUGCCAGGCUGGAGUGCAGGGGAGGUAAGUGGAAUUCCUAGUGUAGCGGUGAAAUGCGUAGAUAUUAGGAAGAACACCAGUGGCGAAGGCGGCUUACUGGACUGUAACUGACGUUGAGGCUCGAAAGCGUGGGGAGCGAACAGGAUUAGAUACCCGUGUAGUC